rnacentral:lncRNA from 1 species
CGCGAUGUUGGCUUUAUUCUGCCUGAACCUGGCAAAAAUUUGUAGAGUUAGUGUUGAGAUUCCCCAACCCAAUCUGUCUAAAAUAUUGCAAGGGUUAUAGUGUAAUAACCUACCAAGCAUAGAGUUUCAGGCCCAGUUAAGCAUCCAACUUUCAUAUGUAGGUAGGCAGUGGAUGAACAAAUGCAGCAAGGCAACUUGAAUUCGGAUCUUCAGUGUUAAACUCUCCGGCAGAAUCCUCACAAAGCAUGUGUUUACUUCAUCCAAAUGAGAUGUCAAACUCUGUUCCCUGUAAGAGAAAAUUAAUUAAAACAACACACAAGUAGUGAAACAACCAGAAAACAGCAGUAUCAGCAAAUGAAUUAUCUUUCAGAUAAACAGGGGGCCAAAAUCAUGUGGUCACAAGAUGAAAUAAGUGUCCUUUCAAAAAAAAUAAGUGUCCAAAGUUUCAAAUUUCUAGCAUGUGAACUACAACCAAAGCGAUCAAAGUCUGAUCUCUCACUGGUAUGUUCACCAGUCCUUGCUAAUCUUCUUUUUUACAGAAAGGAAAGUGAAAUGGUAAUCAUGGAGAAUAAACUCAACAAAAGUUUUGCAUUCUACUUUCUACUGCAACAUUUGAUAAUCAAGCAUAAAUAUGGCAUCUUAUAUACAGGCGACAAAAAUGCCUUGCAGCAGCUACAGUUGAUCCAAGCUACAAGCAACUUAUGCACCAAUACAAGAAGAGUACACCUCAGUUCACAACAUGAAAAAGAAAAGCAAUUAUAACAUCGAUCCACAGUUGUUGAAGUCAUAAAAUAGUACCGUAUUACUGUGCAAAACUGACCUAUUGGCAGAAAUCUUUCCUGGCUCACAAAGGGAUCCGGCAGAUUUUGAGACUAACAAAU